rnacentral:rRNA from 1 species
UCGAGCGAACAGACGAGGAGCUUGCUCCUCUGACGUUAGCGGCGGACGGGUGAGUAACACGUGGAUAACCUACCUAUAAGACUGGGAUAACUUCGGGAAACCGGAGCUAAUACCGGAUAAUAUAUUGAACCGCAUGGUUCAAUAGUGAAAGACGGUUUUGCUGUCACUUAUAGAUGGAUCCGCGCCGCAUUAGCUAGUUGGUAAGGUAACGGCUUACCAAGGCAACGAUGCGUAGCCGACCUGAGAGGGUGAUCGGCCACACUGGAACUGAGACACGGUCCAGACUCCUACGGGAGGCAGCAGUAGGGAAUCUUCCGCAAUGGGCGAAAGCCUGACGGAGCAACGCCGCGUGAGUGAUGAAGGUCUUCGGAUCGUAAAACUCUGUUAUUAGGGAAGAACAAAUGUGUAAGUAACUAUGCACGUCUUGACGGUACCUAAUCAGAAAGCCACGGCUAACUACGUGCCAGCAGCCGCGGUAAUACGUAGGUGGCAAGCGUUAUCCGGAAUUAUUGGGCGUAAAGCGCGCGUAGGCGGUUUUUUAAGUCUGAUGUGAAAGCCCACGGCUCAACCGUGGAGGGUCAUUGGAAACUGGAAAACUUGAGUGCAGAAGAGGAAAGUGGAAUUCCAUGUGUAGCGGUGAAAUGCGCAGAGAUAUGGAGGAACACCAGUGGCGAAGGCGACUUUCUGGUCUGUAACUGACGCUGAUGUGCGAAAGCGUGGGGAUCAAACAGGAUUAGAUACCCUGGUAGUCCACGCCGUAAACGAUGAGUGCUAAGUGUUAGGGGGUUUCCGCCCCUUAGUGCUGCAGCUAACGCAUUAAGCACUCCGCCUGGGGAGUACGACCGCAAGGUUGAAACUCAAAGGAAUUGACGGGGACCCGCACAAGCGGUGGAGCAUGUGGUUUAAUUCGAAGCAACGCGAAGAACCUUACCAAAUCUUGACAUCCUCUGACCCCUCUAGAGAUAGAGUUUUCCCCUUUCGGGGGACAGAGUGACAGGUGGUGCAUGGGUUGUCGUCAGCUCGUGUCGUGAGAUGUUGGGGUUAAGUCCCGCAACGAGC